UACGUAGGGUGCGAGCGUUAAUCGGAAUUACUGGGCGUAAAGCGUGCGCAGGCGGCGCGUUAAGACAGGUGUGAAAGCCCCGAGCUUAACUUGGGAAUUGCGCUUGUGACUGGCGUGCUGGAGUGGUGGCAGAGGGAGGUGGAAUUCCACGUGUAGCAGUGAAAUGCGUAGAGAUGUGGAGGAACACCGAUGGCGAAGGCAGCCUCCUGGGCCAGCACUGACGCUCAUGCACGAAAGCGUGGGGAGCAAACAGG
rnacentral:rRNA from 1 species